rnacentral:lncRNA from 1 species
CCCACGACUAACAAUUGACUAACAGGCAGACGACCUAUUCAGACAGCUAAUCGGUGUAGGCCUGACAAUCUCUGAUUUCCAUCAAUAACAAAGGCCAAAAGAGAUCCUGCAGGUAUGAAACUCCUUCCUCUCAAUAUGCUCACUCCUUUCUUCCUGUUACCAAAAAUUUAACUUCGUAAGAAAAUCCUCGUCAGAGUCAUCUCCGACGAAAACUCCCUUUGCAGGUACCGUUGCCACCACCAUCACGCCAUUGCCCACUAGUUGUUACUAUCCAACUCCAGUUAUCCCAACCUCAAGAUAGAUUUCCGCAUCAACAAAUCUUUUGCUAAUAUUUUCUACUCAUGUUUUGCUGAAGUCAUCUCAUCUUCAUUUGAUAACUUCUCAACUACUAUUCACCUUGAUGCACAAAACGAGACUCAUAAGGAUGCAUUGGCAAAUUCCUUCCAAUAUAAAAUACAAUCAUUGAGGCAUAUAUGAAUUAUUUUCAUACCAUAAUCCAAAAUCUCCAAUUAUCUUCUUCACUUCAUAAAAGUCUCUUGGCAAUAUUUCACCAUUCGAAAGUGUCUUAUUUAUGAAUUGGAGCAAUAAUGUAAAUGAAUUAUUGCUCUAAUCAUUUUUACACUUUAUGUGAAGUGAACAAUUAAAAACAGCCCGCCGAACU